AACGAACGCUGGCGGCAUGCCUAACACAUGCAAGUCGAACGAGAGCUUCGGGUCUAGUGGCGCACGGGUGCGUAACGCGUGGGAACCUGCCCUUAGGUUCGGAAUAACUCCCCGAAAGGGGUGCUAAUACCGGAUAAUGUCUUCGGACCAAAGAUUUAUCGCCUUUGGAUGGGCCCGCGUUGGAUUAGCUAGUUGGUAGGGUAAAAGCCUACCAAGGCGACGAUCCAUAGCUGGUCUGAGAGGAUGAUCAGCCACACUGGGACUGAGACACGGCCCAGACUCCUACGGGAGGCAGCAGUGGGGAAUAUUGGACAAUCGGCGAAAGCCUGAUCCAGCAAUGCCGCGUGAGUGAUGAAGGCCUUAGGGUUGUAAAGCUCUUUUACCCGGGAUGAUAAUGACAGUACCGGGAGAAUAAGCUCCGGCUAACUCCGUG
rnacentral:rRNA from 1 species